rnacentral:rRNA from 1 species
AGAGUUUGAUCCUGGCUCAGAACGAACGCUGGCGGCGUGGCUAAGACAUGCAAGUCAAACGGUCCAGCACUUAUUUGUUUACAAAUUAGUGCUGGAUAGUGGCGAACGGGUGAGGAAUGAAUAGGUAACGUACCCCGAACUUCGGGAUAGCGUCUGACUGCUUCGGCAGUCUUCCGAAAGGGGCGGUAAUACCGAAUAAUGUCAUGUGGCAUAAGUUACAUGACCAAAGAUUUAUCGGUUUGGGAGCGGCCUAUUUCCUAUCAGCUUGUUGGUGGGGUAACGGCCUACCAAGGCAACGACGGGUAGCGGGACUGAGAGGUUGACCCGCCACAUCGGGACUGAGACACUGCCCGGACCUCCACGGAGGGCUGCAGUAACGGAUAUUGUGCAAUGGGCGAAAGCCUGACACAGCAACGCCGCGUGUAGGAUGAAGCCUUUCGGGGUGUAAACUACUGUCAGGGGGAAGAAAGUAUGCUUCGGCAUAUUGAUCUACCCCAAAGGAAGUCACGGCUAACUUCGUGCCAGCAGCCGCGGUAAUACGAAGGUGGCGAGCGUUGUUCGGAAUCACUGGGCUUAAAGAGCACGUAGGCGGAGUGGAUAGUGUCCUGUGAAAGCCCCCGGCUCAACCGGGGAAUUGCGGGGCAUACUGCCACUCUUGAGGCAAGUAGGGGCGCAUGGAACUCUUGGUGGAGCGGUGGAAUGCGUAGAUAUCAAGAGGAACGCCGAAGGUGAAGACAGUGCACUGGGCUUGUCCUGACGCUGAGGUGCGAAAGCGUGGGGAGCGAACGGGAUUAGAUACCCCGGUAGUCCACGCCGUAAACGAUGUCUACUAGGUUGUGAAUGUUCUGACACAGGCACAGCCGAAGCAAAAGUGUUAAGUAGACCGCCUGGGGAGUACGGCCGCAAGGCUAAACUCAAAGGAAUUGACGGGGCUCACACAGCGGUGGGAGCAUGUGGAUUAAUUCGAAGCACGCGCAGAACCUUACCUGGGUUUGACAUGCUUGGAUGCUCGCCGGAAACGGUGGAGUCUGCCUUCGGUGAAACUGCACAGUGUGCAUGCUGUCGUCAGCUCGUGUCUGGAAUGUCGGGUAGUCUUUACGGAGCGACUGCGUAGUGCAGCGGUCAUGCGGGGAACUACGGACUGCGGUUUCACCGGAGAGGCGGAUGACUCAGUCAUCAUGCCUUAUGCCCAGCUCCACACGUG